CCAUCAUGGGUGACGUUGUCAGUGGGAAGAUCAUCCACAACGUCCUCGCCUCCAGCCAGGUGCUGAUCUAUCUGGCCUCAAGGGGUUGGUUCCAGGGAGCUCCUCUUACGUAAACCACCAGCGGAGGGGUUGCCGGACAUCACGGUGAUGGUGGUGAUGAGAGGCCGAAAUGUUCUAGGACCGGGGCAUGUUAUUAGUGGAGGAGCUGAAGAAGUUGGGAAGGAAGGUGGUGAAGUUGCACGUCUUCUUGGAAGAGGAGCAUCCCUUCUAUGAUCAACAUCGUCUUUGAUAUAUAGAAAGAAGAUUGUGCUGCUAUGUUGCCGGUGCAACUGUGUCGGGGUGUUCUCUUGGAAAGAGUGAGGAUUAGACGGAUGAAGGUUUCUUUGACAAGCUUGUGGAUGAUGAGUUUCGGAUCGAUGGUUCUUCUGCAGCUGAGUUAGAGGAGGGUAAUGAUUCCGAUGGGAUCAACUGGGCCCCUGCUGACACUUCUCUAGCGAACCUUUCUUUGAGUGAAUUGGAGUACCAUUCACAAGUUCAGGUGGACAAGGCUGUUGCGGAAAAGCUGGCUCCUUUAGUGUCAGUAACUCGGUCGAAUUCAAACCAGAGAAAGUAAAUCAGGUUGCAGAAGGGAGUAGUUCCGAUGUGCUUGUUGAGUCCAACGAGUCUGCCAUACCAGUAGAGUUGGUUGCACAUGUGCCGGUGCCAAUGCCCAUUUGAACAAUUUGGAAGCAGAUUUUCCGUCUGUUAAGCGUUCUAAGCAGACCCGGGCGAGCAUGAAGGAGGUGCAGUGGAGUAGCUUUCAUACAGGUAUGGGCGAUAAUGAUUCUGGUUGUUUUAUUUCUCAUUCAGAUUUCUUUGCAGAAUGGAUGAAAAUACAUUUAGACAGACUACAUUGGAGCAUGGCACCACAUUCCCAUCAACGUCUUUGCAAUCUCAAUGGCAAAAUCAAGCUGGUUUUGUUCAAGGGAGAACACAGCAAACUGAUGCAAUCAAUGAUGGCCUGCAGUCGUCUUCAUCUUCUGUCUUUGAUAGUUCUUUUGUCCUAGAUCCCCAAGAGGAGGUUGUUGAGAAGGACCUAAAAGGUGAAACUACUGAUUUGUUGUGAAGUACAACAAGGCGAAGCGAUGCACUAAGUUGAUGAUGCAAUGUGUAGCUAAGCGAUGCGUAGUGAAGCUUAAGUUUCAUGGCAAAAAUAAUCUAACAUAUUAUAUCAACAAAAAUCAUGUCAGAAAUUAAAAAAAGAGAAAAAAAACCAUUUUUUUCUGGCGUCAAAAUCAGACAUGAAGGAUGGCACUGUUUUUCUAUUUGCGAGAAAGUUUAAUUAUUUGUUAUCAACAAUUAUACAUAAAAGUUUGUAAAAUAUUUAAUUCCUUAUAAGUACUGCAGAUGAAAAAAAACAUUACUUUGGUUUAUUUAAACAACAUACUCAUGAGAGCACCGGUUUGGUCAAAUGGUUAUAAGUUCAAUAAAUUCACUAAACUCUAUGAUUUUUUAUCCAACAUUUAUUAACUUACACUAUUUCAUUCAACAUACAACUUUCAAUAAACUAACACUUAUGGCUUUCAUCUAAUUCUACCAUGCGGCUGAGAAAAAAAUUAAACAAAAACAAUGUGAAAUAGAAAAAUGAAAAAAAAUACAAGCAUUAAUUACAAAACAGAGGUAGAGGGAGAGAGACAUGAGCGACAGGCAGGCACUCGAGGUGCACAUUACGUGUGUUGAGUUGUGUGAUUCAAAUAACAUGGUGGUUACAUUAUGGGUUCAGGUAACAUAGCGGGGGUAAUGCUGUUACAGGUUUAUAGUGGUGAAAUUUCUACUGGUGCUAGAGAACACCAGUAUAAAUACCUUAGCGGCGAGGCAUUUCACUGGUAUAAGUAUAUACGGCUGCAAACUACCUCAUCGUUAGAGAUCUAUACCAGUUGUAAUCGUCACCGAUAUUGGACUGUCCCAGUUGCGUUCAUCACCUGUAUAGGUUAUUAUGAUUAAAGAAUAGCACAAACAUAAUUUGUACCCUCAAGAAAACAUUUAUAUUCUCUAGUAAAUAUUUCCCUGGCUUUCAACCAAAAUAUGUCUUAGGCAAUGUGUUCCUUCUGCAUCCAGCGCUAAGGGGGAACAAAACUCAGCCGUGUGAUGCAAUGGUCAGCUGUUGACAGAUGACAGUACCAUGCCAAUUAGAGAUGAUGGAGGUGAGGGCUGUCUAUUUUCUGUGGAAAGGUUGCAAGAGUUGAAGGUAUAUAGAGAAGUUGCUUGAAAGAAUCAGAGUCUAAAGUCAAUUUGGUUCACUCGACAAGAGAUUUUCUUGUAUAUAUACAAUGAUGGUAGGAAGGUAUUCAUACUCCACCUUGUAUACUGCAUCAUUCGUUAUGUAUAAAGAAUCCCACCUUA